rnacentral:rRNA from 1 species
UACGUAGGGUGCGAGCGUUGUCCGGAUUUAUUGGGCGUAAAGAGCGUGUAGGCGGCCUGACAAGUCUGCUGUGAAAACUCGAGGCUCAACCUCGAGAUGUCGGCGGAAACUGUCUGGCUAGAGUCCGGAAGAGGAGAGUGGAAUUCCUGGUGUAGCGGUGAAAUGCGCAGAUAUCAGGAGGAACACCAAUGGCGAAGGCAGCUCGCUGGGACGGUACUGACGCUGAGACGCGAAAGCGUGGGGAGCAAACAGG